AUUGAACGCUAGCGGGAUGCCUUACACAUGCAAGUCGAACGGAGUGGCGAACGGGUGAGUAAUGUAUCGGAACGUGCCCAGUAGCGGGGGAUAACUACGCGAAAGCGUAGCUAAUACCGCAUACUAUUGGAGCGGCCGAUAUCGGAUUAGCUAGUUGGUGGGGUAACGGCUCACCAAGGCGACGAUCCGUAGCUGGUUGGAGAGGAGGACCAGCCAAACGGGGACUGAGACACGGCCCAGACCCGACGGGGAGGCAGAAGUGGGAAAUUGUGGACAAGGGGGGAAUCCCUGAUCCAGCCAUGCCGCGUGGGGGAGGAAGGCCUUGGGGUUGGAAAGCACUUUUGGCAGAAAAGCGGUACCUGAAAAAUAAGCACCGGCUAACUACGUGCGAGCAGCCGCGGUAAUAC
rnacentral:rRNA from 1 species